CUGGCCGCUACCAUAGCAAUUGUUUUUGUUAAUAUAGCAAUAGUCAUUGUUUACAAUAACACAACCACAAAAGUCAUUAUGACAGAACUGUUAAACGUUAAACUACGAUUAUUUUCGUGUAAUAAUAAUAUCCUAAAAUUAUAAUAAAUUAAAUAGCAAAAAUUUCAUAAUAAAUUUAUAAUAAGUGCUUAAUAAGUUUAAUAUAAAGUUCAACACUAUUUCAAACAUUUAUUAGUUAAAAUAAAUUAAAAUAAAAUUAACUCCAAAAAAUAAAUACAAAAAAAUGGACUCUUCGUCUGAAGGCUCCACUGAUGAAGAAGAAGUGCUGCGAUUAUUUGAUAAAGAAGCUAAAGUUAUUGUGCAGAGUGAAACGUUACCAAAGAAAUCAGCUGAUCGAUACAUGCAAAAUUAUAAUGCCUACAAAAACUGGAAGGAAAAAAAUAAAAAUUCCCUCUCGACGUCAGAAGAAAACAAUUUAAUUGUUUAUUUUAAAGAUUUAAAAAAAAGGUUAAGUCCAUUAACUCUAUGGAGCGUGUGGAGUAUGCUAAAAAAGACAUUAAAUACCAAUGAUGAUAUACAGAUAAAUAAUUUCUUAAAUUUAAAAAGUAUGAUUAAACGAAAUGCUAAAGGACACAGACCGAAGAAAUCUUUUAUUUUAACAUGGGAACAAAUUAAAAAAUUUAUUGAUGAAGCUCCUGACUCAGAAUAUUUAGCAGUGAAGGUUGUAUUAAUAUUUGGAAUAUGUGGCUGCUUACGAUGUUUAGAAUUAACAAACAUGAAAGUUGGAGACGUAGAAGAUUUGAAUGGGAGGUACUUAAUAUCUAUCAAUGACAAUAAAAAUGAUUACCCUGGCCAAUUUAUUAUUGGGAAUCUCUUCUACGCUAAAGUUAAAACUUAUAUUUCCAAGAGACCAUCUGGUAAUUUCAAUGACAGGUUUUUCAUCCAAUACACGAAAGACAGAUGUACUCGAACUCCUAUAGGACGUCAUACUAUAGGAGGAAUGCCGAAAAAAAUUGCGACUUAUUUGGAUCUGCCUAACAUCAAUAGACAUACCGGCCACUGCUUUAGAAGAUCAUCUGCAACGCUUCUCUCGAACUCCGGCGCGAACAUGCAGAUGAUCAAACAGCUAGGGAGAUGGCGUUCAGAUGUGAUCGCCCAGGGCUACGUUUAAAAUUCCUUACACAACAGGCAGAUGAUUUUCAAUGAAAUAAUCCAGAAUGAGACCGAGGUAAUUCCUGAACCCCGACCAUCAACCAGCACAGCAGAACCCGACAUUUUAUACCCUCAAUCCGUAAUUAAUAAUGCUCAAGACGCAACCAUUGAUUCCCAAGAAGAAACCAUCAACGCUCAUGAAGAAACUGUUAACCCCGAAAAUUCAACGAUUAAUCCCGAAGAAGCGAAUGUUAACACCGAACAAGAAACCCACGAGUUUGAAUCAGCACUUAUCGAUUUAAAUUGGUCAGAUUUUGAGGAUGAUUUUACUGAAACGGACCCUAAACAAACUUCGAUUCCAACCGUCGUACCCACUGGUUUUACUACAGCGAAUCAAAAGCCACUUUUUGUGCCACAGAAGACUCAAAACCAACUAAUAAUGAAUAAUAAUACUAAUAAUAAU
rnacentral:misc_RNA from 1 species